GAUGAACGCUGGCGGCGUGCCUAAUACAUGCAAGUCGAGCGAACAGAUAAGGAGCUUGCUCCUUUGACGUUAGCGGCGGACGGGUGAGUAACACGUGGGUAACCUACCUAUAAGACUGGGAUAACUUCGGGAAACCGGAGCUAAUACCGGAUAACAUUUGGAACCGCAUGGUUCUAAAGUGAAAGAUGGUUUUGCUAUCACUUAUAGAUGGACCUGCGCCGUAUUAGCUAGUUGGUAAGGUAACGGCUUACCAAGGCAACGAUACGUAGCCGACCUGAGAGGGUGAUCGGCCACACUGGAACUGAGACACGGUCCAGACUCCUACGGGAGGCAGCAGUAGGGAAUCUUCCGCAAUGGGCGAAAGCCUGACGGAGCAACGCCGCGUGAGUGAUGAAGGGUUUCGGCUCGUAAAACUCUGUUAUUAGGGAAGAACAAAUGUGUAAGUAACUGUGCACGUCUUGACGGUACCUAAUCAGAAAGCCACGGCUAACUACGUG
rnacentral:rRNA from 1 species